GAUGAACGCUGGCGGCGUGCCUAAUACAUGCAAGUCGAGCGAACAGACGAGGAGCUUGCUCCUCUGACGUUAGCGGCGGACGGGUGAGUAACACGUGGAUAACCUACCUAUAAGACUGGGAUAACUUCGGGAAACCGGAGCUAAUACCGGAUAAUAUAUUGAACCGCAUGGUUCAAUAGUGAAAGACGGUUUUGCUGUCACUUAUAGAUGGAUCCGCGCCGCAUUAGCUAGUUGGUAAGGUAACGGCUUACCAAGGCAACGAUGCGUAGCCGACCUGAGAGGGUGACCGGCAAAACUGGAAUUGAGAAACGGUCCAAGACCCUAGGGGAGGCAGCAGGAGGGAAUCUUCCGCAAUGGGCGAAAGCCUGACGGAGCAACGCCGGGGGGGUGAUGAAGGUCUUCGGAUGGUAAAACUCUUUUAUUGGGGAAAAAAAAAUGUGAAAGUAACGAUGCACGUUUGGAGGGUACCUAAUCAAAAAGCCCCGGCUAACUACGU
rnacentral:rRNA from 1 species